rnacentral:tRNA from 1 species
UGCCGAGGUGGUGGAAUUGGUAGACACGCAGGUUUCAGAUGCCUGUGGGGGAAACCCCGUGGAGGUUCAAGUCCUCUCCUCGGCAA